rnacentral:rRNA from 1 species
AGCAGUGCCGCGGUAAUACGUAGGUGGCAAGCGUUGUCCGGAAUUAUUGGGCGUAAAGGGCUCGCAGGCGGUUUCUUAAGUCUGAUGUGAAAGCCCCCGGCUCAACCGGGGAGGGUCAUUGGAAACUGGGAAACUUGAGUGCAGAAGAGGAGAGUGGAAUUCCACGUGUAGCGGUGAAAUGCGUAGAGAUGUGGAGGAACACCAGUGGCGAAGGCGACUCUCUGGUCUGUAACUGACGCUGAGGAGCGAAAGCGUGGGGAGCGAACAGGAUUAGAUACCCGGGUAGUCCCUGUCUCUUAUACA